UGGAGAGUUUGAUCCUGGCUCAGGACGAACGCUGGCGGCGUGCUUAACACAUGCAAGUCGAACGAUGAACCGGUUUCGGCCGGGGAUUAGUGGCGAACGGGUGAGUAACACGUGGGCAAUCUGCCCUGCACUCUGGGACAAGCCCUGGAAACGGGGUCUAAUACCGGAUAUGACACGGGAUCGCAUGGUCUCYGUGUGGAAAGCUCCGGCGGUGCAGGAUGAGCCCGCGGCCUAUCAGCUUGUUGGUGAGGUAGUGGCUUACCAAGGCGACGACGGGUAGCCGGCCUGAGAGGGCGACCGGCCACACUGGGACUGAGACACGGCCCAGACUCCUACGGGAGGCAGCAGUGGGGAAUAUUGCACAAUGGGCGCAAGCCUGAUGCAGCGACGCCGCGUGAGGGAUGACGGCCUUCGGGUUGUAAACCUCUUUCAGCAGGGAAGAAGCGUGAGUGACGGUACCUGCAGAAGAAGCACCGGCUAACUACGUGCCAGCAGCCGCGGUA
rnacentral:rRNA from 1 species